UCUGAAUAAAGUUAAUUUACUUCCAUAGGACAGCAUCAGAAAGAUUCCUAGAGGUUCAGAGGAAUACAAAUUUUGGUAAAUACAAUCCAGGAUAGAAAGGGUUGGGAGAAACAGCCAGAGAUCAUCCAGGUGUGUGGCCAUCAGGAAUGCAACAGAGGGUUUUUCUGGCAAAACUAUGGGAAAACCUAUAGUCUGAUGAGGCAGAAUCGUGAAGUGAUGAGGGGGAUUUGUCUUCGCCUAGGAAGGUUCAGUGGUCUUCUAUCUGGGUUUCCUCUCAGCCGUGUCUGCCUGGCUCGUUACCUCACGUCCUCUGCUAUCUGUCCUGCUGAAGCUGUCCCUGAGGAGGCAAACCUUCCCUCCAGGGAGGUCACUGAGGAUUGCAGUGCAUUGCUUCAUGCAAACAGCUCCUUGGGAAGAAGCCUUCACUCUCCCUGCUGUGUGGAUAGACUGAGGAGCCCCCGAGGCUUAGCAGCAGGUCAGGGCCAAGCCGAGCUUCCAGAACUAGACAGAGGCACAGGUUUUUAUCUGAACUUAAUUUCUCUUUCAGGAGAGCAUUCGUUGCCUCUUGUUUCUUAUUUGAAUCUAAUCCCCAUGGAUCACAAUUGUGUUCUGUGGAUCCAUCUAGCAAAACACACAAUUCAAGGACUCUUGGUCCUUGGCUGGCUCACAGAACUCUAGAACUCUGAGAAGAUCAGCCUUCUCACUGCAGCUGAGGACCUAGGCCUCAGGGAGGUCAAAUGACCAGCCAAGGUCAAGUGGCCAGUUGGUGAAAGGGCUGGAUUAGAAAUAAGGUUACCAGUCUUUAUUCAGGGUUCUCACAAACACACUAACACAUUUUUUAUCAGCAAUAGGAAAAUCUACCCAGAAAUUACUCAAUCUCCUAGAGUAGAGAUCUUAGAUGUUGUGGUAAAAGAGGACGUAGAGAUCGUGUCGUACAGGCCUCCAAAAGAAGUUUUAGAGUUUUUAAGUGCCUUUUCCCUUUGUUUUAUUUAAAAUGAUGUCUAGCUUGGCACAGCCAUGAAUCUGAGAUGUGUUCAACUGGAUAAGCCUGCGCGUGAGCCUGCGUGCCUAGGGGUGAUGUCAGCGUGGCUCCCUGAAGAUUUCAAGAGGAUCCCUCCUCUCGGGUUUUAUUUUGUAGUAAAAAUAAUCUGCGGUGUUUUUGGUUUUCCUUGUCUUAUGGACUGGGGGAGUCAGCUGGGAGGCCACUGUCUCCUGAUUUUCUAGGUGGUCAUUAUCCGUACUCCAUUCAGACCACAGUUAAGACCACUGGAUCCUAAAUGAUGCCCCAGGGACUGUUCAUGCGGUCAUCUUGGGGAGGGAAAGGGGAGGUACGCAGGCAAGCAACACUGACCAAAAUAUUUCUUCUGAAAGCUCUCAUGCUUGCAGUGUGAAUUCACCAUUGGAAGCCUGCCAUGUUUUCUAUUUUAAGGCUCCAUGUCCCUUAUGUUGCUCUGCGGCUCCUUCUUAUUCUACUGUGUUGCAUGGAGAGUAGAGAUGAAGAUAAUAGGUCCUGGAAUUGGACUGUCUCACUUGAAAUCCUAGCUUUGCAUUUACGAAUUUUGUGAUUAUGCGCCAAUGACUUAACCUUUCUGUGUUUGUUUCCUAUCUGCAAAGUGAUUUGACAACUUUAUCAAACCCAAAUGAUUGAUGUGAGGACUAAUAAAUAUAGUAUAGACACUGGUAUGCAGUAGCCAGCGCAUCAGUGAAUGUUAGCUGUUACUGUUAACAUCUCCUGCUCGUGUAGCCCAACCCAGUGGAAAGAACAACUGGAUUGAUGGGUCAGGAGACACAGGAUCCGGUCCAGGCUCUCACUUUCACGUGGCUGUGUGAACUCGGAAGAGUCACUUGAUCUCAACUCACAGAAUGCAAGACAUGGAAGAAAGUAUUUGGUCCAACUUCCUCACUUUACAAAUGAAAUUGGACCUCGAGAGAGGAAGAGGCUCACCCAAAGUCCAACAGGAAGUUGAUGUCCAGGCCAGCAUCAGCCAGCACCUGCUCUCUUGACUGCCAGCCCAGAGCUCUUCUCAUCAUUGCUUUGGGAACUAAAUACCUUGCCAAGUGUCCCCAACUUUGCUGAAGACCUGAGGACUUUGGGGUUGGCAGGCAAAUGGUUCCUAACAAGCUGUCUUUGGGCUGUGGCCACCCCAGAAGCAGCAGCUAGUGCAUUCUAAUUUGUCGUGUUGUAUAAGUGUCAGAAGCAGAGUAAUGCCUUUAAGAUGCUGCUGGGUGAAAGCUGCUAUACCUAUGGAGGGCCCAGAAAACUCAUUCCAGGCCAACAGCAGGAAGUUGAGCAGCUUUGUAGAGUCCAAUGGCUUAAUAAUUGACCAUGUUUCUUUUCCCUUUCUUGGCUCCUGCCGGAGACAGUCAGUGACUGUGUCUCUAUCUUAGGCUGAGGAUAUUUCCUUUUGAACUCUCACUGCAGGUCCUGGCCACCCCUUGCCUUCUCUCCUCUCACUCCUACUCGGAUCCUGGGAUUAUAGGUUGACCAUAUUAUCCACUCUUGGGUACAUAGUGGCUUUGACUCACAGAUCCUCUUUCUGUUCUGCACCCUGGCCACAGCAGGCACUCAACAAAGUCAGUCCUCUGCUCAUUGUUCUAAAUAUAUCCCAGGUUUCUGGCUCUGGGUCAUUGCAUAAAUUUUGUCUUGCCAUUGAUUCUUGCUGAAUGAAGCCCACAGUGGUCUUCCUACUCAGAAGUGGUCUCCUGCUCCUUAGAACUUCCAAAGCACAUAUCAGCUGUAACCAAUGGUUUUCACAUUGUCUGUAGGGGUCCUAUCUUCCUUAAUAGGCUACCUAAGAACCAUGUACUGCCAUCUUUUUCUCCCCCAAAGCAUUUAGCAGAGUUCCUUGCCCAUUGCAGGAGCUCAGUUAGAUGUGCUUUGAACAACUGUUGACUGGUUAGUGGGGUUGGAGUAAGGGCCUUCAGCGUUAAUAAAAAGGUUGUUCCUUCAUAAUCAAAAGUGCUUUCUCCCUAGGUGUCAUUGUGGGCCCAUGAUAAGUCAGUUACAGCCAUUCGAAGGCUCCUUAAAGCUUUGGCAAUGCCCAGUCAUUUUUAGAAUUCUACUUUUUAGAAAUCUGGAGUGACAUGUUUUCAAAUUAAAGUCAAUUAAAAUUAAUUUUGCUCUUUUCUUGUGGCAGAAACUGACAACCCAAGAUGGACAAGUAAAACAAAUUAACAUACUUUAAAAAUGCAAGUAAAAUUUUAGGGACAUCAAAAGGCUUGAUGAGUGAAGGAGCCCUGAGACUUUCACUCACUCAUGCACUCAUUCACUCAAUCAGCAAACAUAUUCAUGUAGUUCAAUUUCUUGCGUUUCAAGAGAAAACACAGUUGUGUUAUUUUGUUAAUGCAAAAUUUUAUAUAGCCCUCUACUAGAGCCCUAUGCUUCUGAAAUUGUUUGCUAAAACAAUAGUCAUAUUAGUUUGUGUUCAUAAAGUCAAGCUCAGUGUUUCCCUAAGAUCAAACACUCCAUGACAAAUUUUAUCCCCAAAUUUGGGAAAAAAAUGAGAAGAAUGCAAAGAUUAAUUCUUGGAAGUCCUUAAAUAAGACUUUCCUCUCCCAUUUUCUGUUUGCUUUUAAAAUUUUGCAUUCAGAGAAUAAUAGGUGAGUCUUUCUGUGGAUAAUUAAAACACAUGUAACUUGAAAUUCUCAGGCCAGUAAUUAAACUGAAGAGCUCACUGGGUAACGCUUACUUUUUUCUCCCAGAUUGUGAGUUCAGUUCCUUUUCAAGCUGCACUUUUCAUUUCUUUUUUCUUUUCUUUUUUUUUUUUCAAUCACAGAGAUUAAAGCAGCCUGAAUUUUACAAUAGCAUCUUGUGAAGGAAGAGGUGGGGGGAAAGCCACAGCGGUUUUAGUAAAUCAUGCACUUUGAUGUCUCCAACUUGAAAUCCAUAUUUUGAGAGCCCUGAUGUACCUAAUAGCAUUUAGAAUAAAAUUUUAAAUCCCAAAGCUGGGGCUGUUUGCAGAGAAAAAUGCCUGUGAAAAGUGGAUGUUAGCAUUCAUCUCACAUCUCACCACUGUCUUACCACAAAGCACUUCUAUUCUUCGCUGUGAAGUUUGUGUGGCAUACAUAUCACAUACCCGUGGUGUGUCCACUUUUCUUGGCUGGUGUCCACAAAGUUAUUAAUAGCUGUUGACCUUGGCUUGAGGCUUUACGCAUUUAUUUUGGGUAAGAAAAGGUAGAAAGAGAAAAAGGCUUUCCAGGAACACAUUGUUUUCUCUAAAAUCACGGAGCCAUUCCGAGAGCCCCUCUCUUGACCGUCAAAAAUACCUGUAAAAUCUAACUAUUGUUAAAGAUUUGUGUCUUUAGGCUGAAAUCCACUGGUUCCCUUAAUUUGCUUUCAGGUGCAGGUGCUGUAGUGCCAUUUUAGAAAUGUCAUGGCCCUUUGACCAUAUUCACAGGCUCCUGGGCAGCAAGAAGCUUUGAAAUCAAAUAAAUAUUGAAACACGAGAAUAGAUUUCAAGAAUUACUUUUCUGCUAAAAUCUCAGGACAAAAUUCCUGUUGUUCCUGCAAGUCCCUUAGCUCAUCGAGGGCAUUUGCAUCCAACAGGGUCUCAGGAGCUCUUGUUUCUUCUGCUAUCACAUUAUGUUUAUGAUGUCAUCAGGGGUUACCAUGGAGGUAAUUGUCAUGAUGUGGGAGCUGUGUGAAUUCAGGUGUGGAGAAACUCAGCAGUGAGAGAUGAGUCUGAGAAAAAGAGACAAAUCCCCUUUCAUUCCAGCUUCCUUUGCAACAAAAGGGAGAGAAUACUAUAUUAUGAAGUCCAAGAUGAACAGGGAAAUCUUUUGAAUGAUACACCAGGAAGCUCAAAGAGCUGGCAAGCCACAGCGGGAUGGCCGUCCCCUGAGAGAGAGGAGAGGAGGAGAACGAGCCCAGCAGGGGCCUGGAGCAGCUGGCUGGCAUCAAUAAUUUCCUGCAGGAGAUUUUGCUGGCUGAGUACACGUCACCUGUCUGUUGCCCCUCUGCGUCUGCCCUGUGGUACUAAAAUAAACUAAAGCAACCCUUGGACUCUGCUCGUCCAAAUACAGUUCGUUAACCUCAGCUCUGUGGAGCCCAGGAGGGAAACUUGGACAGAGAAAAACACAGAGACCCAGGGAAGAAGCCCAUGUGAAGACAGAGGCAGAGAUUGGAGUUCUAUAGCUGCAAGCCAUGUAAUGCCAAGGAUUGCUGACGGCCACCAGAAGCUGGAAGAAGCAAGGAGGGAUUCUUCCCCAGAUCCUUCAGAGGGAGCACAGCUCUGCCAACACCUUGAUUUUGG
ensembl:lncRNA